CGGGAAGGAGGCCUUCGGGUCGUAAACCGCUUUCAGCAGGGAAGAAGCCUGACGGUACCUGCAGAAGAAGCCCCGGCUAAUUACGUGCCAGCAGCCGCGGUAAUACGUAGGGGGCGAGCGUUAUCCGGAUUCAUUGGGCGUAAAGCGCGCGCAGGCGGCCCGCCAAGCGGCCUCGUCGAAGCCGGGGGCUCAACCCCCGGAAGCGACCCGAACUGGCGGGCUCGAGUGGGGCAGGGGAGGAUGGAAUUCCCGGUGUAGCGGUGAAAUGCGCAGAUAUCGGGAGGAACACCGACGGCGAAGGCAGCCCUCUGGGCCUUCACUGACGCUGAGGCGCGAAAGCUGGGGGAGCGAACAGGAUUAGAUACCCUGGUAGUCCCAGCCGUAAACGAUGGGCGCUAGGUGCGGGGGGACACGACCCUCCGUGCCGCAGCCAACGCAUUAAGCGCCCCGCCUGGGGAGUACGGCCGCAAGGCUAAAACUCAAAGGAAUUGACGGGGGCCCGCACAAGCAGCGGAGCAUGUGGCUUAAUUCGAAGCAACGCGAAGAACCUUACCAGGGCUUGACAUGCGGGUGAAGCGGCGGAGACGCCGUGGCCGGAAGGAGCCCGCGCAGGUGGUGCAUGGCUGUCGUCAGCUCGUGUCGUGAGAUGUUGGGUUAAGUCCCGCAACGAGCGCAACCCCCGCCGCAUGUUGCCAGCAUUCAGUUGGGCACUCAUGCGGGACCGCCGGCGCCAAGCCGGAGGAAGGCGGGGACGACGUCAAGUCAUCAUGCCCCCCAUGCCCUGGGCCGCACACGUGCUACAAUGGCCGGCACAGCGGGCAGCGGACCCGCGAGGGCGAGCGAAUCCCUUAAAGCCGGCCCCAGUUCGGAUCGGAGGCUGCAACCCGCCUCCGUGAAGCCGGAGUUGCUAGUAAUCGCGGAUCAGCACGCCGCGGUGAAUGCGUUCCCGGGCCUUGUACACACCGCCCGUCACACCACCCGAGUCGUCUGCACCCGAAGCCGCCGGCCCAACCCGGAAGGGGGGGAGGCGUCGAAGGUGUGG
rnacentral:rRNA from 1 species